rnacentral:rRNA from 1 species
GUGCAGCAGGCUAGAAUUUUUCACAAUGGGGGAAACCCUGAUGGAGCGACGCCGCGUGGAGGAUGAAGGCCUUUUGGUCGUAAACUCCUGUCAAACGGGAACAAGAAAGUGAUAGUACCGUUAGAGGAAGAGGCGGCUAACUCUGUGCCAGCAGCCGCGGUAAUACAGAGGCCUCAAGCGUUGUUCGGAUUCAUUGGGCGUAAAGGGUGCGUAGGUGGCUUGUUAAGUUGAAGGUGAAAUCUCGGGGCUCAACUCCGAAACUGCCUUCAAUACUGGCGAGCUCGAGGAUUGUAGAGGAGAAUGGAAUUCACGGUGUAGCAGUGAAAUGCGUAGAUAUCGUGAGGAAGACCAGUGGCGAAGGCGAUUCUCUGGGCAAUUCCUGACACUGAGGCACGAAGGCCAGGGGAGCAAACGGGAUUAGAUACCCGCGUAGU